rnacentral:rRNA from 1 species
AGUGAACGCUGGCGGUAGGCCUAACACAUGCAAGUCGAACGGCAGCACAGUAAGAGCUUGCUCUUACGGGUGGCGAGUGGCGGACGGGUGAGGAAUACAUCGGAAUCUACUUUUUCGUGGGGGAUAACGUAGGGAAACUUACGCUAAUACCGCAUACGACCUACGGGUGAAAGCAGGGGAUCUUCGGACCUUGCGCGAUUGAAUGAGCCGAUGUCGGAUUAGCUAGUUGGCGGGGUAAAGGCCCACCAAGGCGACGAUCCGUAGCUGGUCUGAGAGGAUGAUCACCCACACGGGAACUGAGACACGGUCAAGACUCCUACGGGAGGCAGCAGUGGGGAAUAUUGGACAAUGGGCGGAAGCCUGAUCCAGCCAUACCGCGUGGGUGAAGAAGGCCUUCGGGUUGUAAAGCCCUUUUGUUGGGAAAGAAAAGCAGCAGGUUAAUACCACGCUGUUCUGACGGUACCCAAAGAAUAAGCACCGGCUAACUUCGUG